CCUGAGUAUCUCCUAGAGCAGGAUGCUUGCAGUCUAUUAAAAGCUAUUUUUGGACUUGGGGAAGAAGGAGGUUGCAUUUUUGUCCAUGGAUCCAACUCCAUGGCCACUGUGCUGUUUCUGAGCUGAAUCUUAAGCAGUAAGAAGCACCACAAGAUAAAGCAGCAGAGAUGAAACUGCCUGAACUUUUGUCCUAAUCCAAAGUUAAAAAAAAAAUCCAGGUAAUUUUUUAUUCAGGUUUGCAGUUU
rnacentral:lncRNA from 1 species